UACGAAGGGGGCUAGCGUUGCUCGGAAUCACUGGGCGUAAGCGCACGUAGGCGGCUUUUUAAGUCAGGGGUGAAAUCCGUGGAGCUCAACUCCAGAACUGCCUUUGAUACUGAGGAGCUUGAGUCCGGGAGAGGUGAGUGGAACUGCGAGUGUAGAGGUGAAAUUCGUAGAUAUUCGCAAGAACACCGGUGGCGAAGGCGGCAUCCUGGACCGAGAUUGACGCUGAGGCGCGAAAGCCAGGGGAGCAAAGCGGG
rnacentral:rRNA from 1 species